ensembl:snoRNA SNORA70 Small nucleolar RNA SNORA70
GGGCAGCUAAUUAAGCCGACCGUGCUCUCUGCCCUGUGGGGCCCGGUGUGCAAUGGCUGCCGACAGCAAGCGGCUCCCUGGGUAGUGUACGCAGCCUGUGGCUUGUACAGGCUGUGAGAAGGGACCCGGGAGACAGUC